rnacentral:rRNA from 1 species
UACGUAGGUGGCGAGCGUUGUCCGGAUUUACUGGGCGUAAAGGGCGUGCAGGCGGUUUGUUAAGUGCAGGGUGAAAUCCCUCGGCUCAACUGAGGAACUGCCUUUGAAACUGUCUGGCUUGAGGCCGGGAGAGGGUAGCGGAAUUCCCAGUGUAGCGGUGAAAUGCGUAGAUAUUGGGAGGAACACCAGUGGCGAAGGCGGCUACCUGGACCGGUUCUGACGCUGAGGCGCGAAAGCGUGGGUAGCAAACAGG